rnacentral:rRNA from 1 species
GACGUAGGGCGCGAGCGUUGUCCGGAUUUAUUGGGCGUAAAGAGCUCGUAGGCGGCUUGUCGCGUCGUCUGUGAAAACCCGCGGCUCAACUGUGGGCUUGCGGUCGAUACGGGCAUCACUGGAGUUCGGCAGGGGAGACUGGAAUUCCUAGUGUAGCGGUGAAAUGCGCAGAUAUUAGGAGGAACACCGGUGGCGAAGGCGCCACUCUGGGCCGAAACUGACGCUGAGGAGCGAAAGCAUGGGUAGCAAACAGG